AAAAGCUCAAAUUUGAAAUCUGGCACCUUCGGUGUCCGAGUUGUAAUUUGAAGAAGGUAACUUUGGAGUUGGCUCUUGUCUAUGUUCCUUGGAACAGGACGUCACAGAGGGUGAGAAUCCCGUGCGAUGAGAUGCCCAAUUCUAUGUAAAGUGCUUUCGAAGAGUCGAGUUGUUUGGGAAUGCAGCUCUAAGUGGGUGGUAAAUUCCAUCUAAAGCUAAAUAUUGGCGAGAGACCGAUAGCGAACAAGUACAGUGAUGGAAAGAUGAAAAGAACUUUGAAAAGAGAGUGAAAAAGUACGUGAAAUUGUUGAAAGGGAAGGGCUUGAGAUCAGACUUGGUAUUUUGCGAUCCUUUCCUUCUUGGUUGGGUUCCUCGCAGCUUACUGGGCCAGCAUCGGUUUGGAUGGUAGGAUAAUGACUAAGGAAUGUGGCUCUACUUCGGUGGAGUGUUAUAGCCUUGGUUGAUACUGCCUGUCUAGACCGAGGACUGCGUCUUUGACUAGGAUGCUGGCAUAAUGAUCUUAAGCCACCCGUCUUGA
rnacentral:rRNA from 1 species